ACGCUGGCGGCAGGCUUAACACAUGCAAGUCGAACGGUAGCAGGAGAAAGCUUGCUUUCUUGCUGACGAGUGGCGGACGGGUGAGUAAUGCUUGGGAAUCUGGCUUAUGGAGGGGGAUAACGACGGGAAACUGUCGCUAAUACCGCGUAGUGUCGAGAGACGAAAGUGCGGGACUGAGAGGCCGCAUGCCAUAGGAUGAGCCCAAGUGGGAUUAGGUAGUUGGUGGGGUAAAGGUCUACCAAGCCUGCGAUCUCUAGCUGGUCUGAGAGGAUGACCAGCCACACUGGAACUGAGACACGGUCCAGACUCCUACGGGAGGCAGCAGUGGGGAAUAUUGCGCAAUGGGGGGAACCCUGACGCAGCCAUGCCGCGUGAAUGAAGGAGGCCUUCGGGUUGUAAAGUUCUUUCGGUAUUGAGGAAGGUUGAUGUGUUAAUAGCACAUCAAAUUGACGUUAAAUACAGAAGAAGCACCGGCUAACUCCGUGCCAGCAGCCGCGGUAAUACGGAGGGUGCGAGCGUUAAUCGGAAUAACUGGGCGUAAAGGGCACGCAGGCGGUUAUUUAAGUGAGGUGUGAAAGCCCUGGGCUUAACCUAGGAAUUGCAUUUCAGACUGGGUAACUAGAGUACUUUAG
rnacentral:rRNA from 1 species